CUUUUGCCAAAAAUACUCUCUGAACUGCCUGAAACCUUUAGGAGGUUCUUCUCUUUUAUGUAAAUUGAACAGAAUGAAAAAAAAUGCGUGUUGACUUGCACUUCUAAUCAAGCCCAGAUUACACCAGUUUCUGGUGUCCUUCCAAUGUGAUGAUGUCAAGCUAAAUUACCUCUCAACAAAAAGCAUUUGAGCAUGGAAUACUUAGCAUUUGACUUCAUAGGAACAGCAGGUGAAAAUCCUAAUGAGGAACAAGCAAUGAGAAACUGAAAGGCUGCAGAUUUGAAUGAGGAUCAGUCAGAGUGCCACUUCGUAGUCUGAUUUCAGGGCCUGGUACCUAAAACUCAGUCCCACAGGUUCCUUCCAAAAAAGCUACAAAUUGCAAAUGUUGAGUGCUGCCUGCCUAACCUGCCAGUGCUUGGCAGCAGCAUCAAUCCUAUAAGGUAAUCUUUCUCAUGGAAGUAACAGCCAUUAGGUGACUUAACAAGGGAGUGCACGAGGUGGUCA
ensembl:lncRNA